GUGCCAGCAGCCGCGGUAAUACCGGCAGCGCAAGUGAUGUCCCAUAUUAUUGGGCCUAAAGCGUCCGUAGCUGGCCGACCAAGUCUCACGGGAAAUCCACCCGCCCAACGGGUGGGCGUCCGGUAGAAACUGGCCGGCUUGGAACCGGAAGGCGCAGAGGGUACGUCCGGGGUAGGAGUGAAAUCCCGUAAUCCCGGACGGACUACCGAUGGCGAAAGCACUCUGCGAAGACGGCUUCGACAGUGAGGGACGAAAGCGCGGGUCUCAAACCGGAUUAGAAACCCUGGAGUCC
rnacentral:rRNA from 1 species